rfam:Schistosoma rodhaini strain Burundi genome assembly, scaffold: SROB_scaffold0000610
GCGCUUCUGAGGAGUCCCACAAUAGGACGAAAUGGUCAUCUAGUAC